CAGGAUGAACGCUGGCGGCGUGCUUAACACAUGCAAGUCGAACGAGGCUGCAGUUGCGGAAGUUUUCGGAUGGAAGCGGUGCAGACCGAGUGGCGGACGGGUGAGUAACGCGUGGGGAACCUGCCCCAUUCCGGGGGAUACCAGUUGGAAACGACUGUUAAUACCGCAUAAGCGCACAGUGAGACAUCUCACAGUGUGAAAAACUGAGGUGGAAUGGGAUGGCCCCGCGUCUGAUUAGCCAGUUGGCAGGGUAACGGCCUACCAAAGCGACGAUCAGUAGCCGGCCUGAGAGGGCGACCGGCCACAUUGGGACUGAGACACGGCCCAAACUCCUACGGGAGGCAGCAGUGGGGAAUAUUGCACAAUGGGGGAAACCCUGAUGCAGCGACGCCGCGUGAGUGAAGAAGUAUUUCGGUAUGUAAAGCUCUAUCAGCAGGGAAGAAGAUGACGGUACCUGCACAAGAAGCCCCGGCUAACUACGUGCC
rnacentral:rRNA from 1 species